AAAACUGCAUAACUCAUUCUUUGUCGGUAAACAACUGUUGACUUCUUUUUAUGAUCUCACUUCCUGACCUCAAUUUUACAACAUAUCUUUUAUCCAAUUUUUUUACACCGUCC
ensembl:ncRNA R07B1.17 ncRNA